rnacentral:rRNA from 1 species
CAUGCAAGUCGAGGGGUAACAGGAAGUGCUUGCACUUCGCUGACGACCGGCGCACGGGUGAGUAUCGCGUAUACAAUCUGCCUCAUACUAGGGAAUAGCCCGAAGAAAUUUGGAUUAAUACCCUAUAGUAUCUUUUUAAGGCAUCUUAUUAAGAUUAAAGGUUACGGUAUGAGAUGAGUAUGCGUUCUAUUACCUAGUAGGUGUGGUAACGGCACACCUAGGCUACGAUAGAUAGGGGCCCUGAGAGGGGAAUCCCCCACACUGGUACUGAGACACGGACCAGACUCCUACGGGAGGCAGCAGUAAGGAAUAUUGGUCAAUGGACGAAAGUCUGAACCAGCCAUGCCGCGUGCAGGAUGACUGCCCUAUGGGUUGUAAACUGCUUUUAUAUAGGAAGAAAAACUUUCUCGUGAGAAAGCUUGACGGUACUAUAAGAAUAAGGAUCGGCUAACUCCGUGCCAGCAGCCGCGGUAAUACGGAGGAUCCAAGCGUUAUCCGGAAUCAUUGGUUUUAAAGGUUCCGUAGGUGGACAAAUAAGUCAGAGGUGAAAUCCUGCAGCUCAACUGUACAACUGCCUUUGAUACUGUUUGUCUUGAGUUAUUAUGAAGUGGUUAGAAUGUGUAGUGUAGCGGUGAAAUGCAUAGAUAUUACACAGAAUACCGAUUGCGAAGGCAGAUCACUAAUAAUCAACUGACACUGAUGGACGAAAGCGUGAGUAGCGAACAGGAUUAGAUACCCUGGUAGUCCACGCCGUAAACGAUGGUCACUAGCUGUUGGACUUCGGUCUGAGUGGCUAAGCGAAAGUGAUAUGUGACCCACCUCGGGAGUACGUUCGCAAGAGUGAAACUCAUAGGAGUUGACGGGGGACGCACAGCGGUGGAGCAUGGUGGUUUAUUCGAUGAUACGCGAGGAGCUUACAGACUUAAAUGUUAGGUGACGAUCUAGAAUAGAUUUUUCUCGGACACUUACAGUAGCUGCAUGAUGACGUCAGCUCGGCGUGAGUGCCAGUUAGUCUAUACCGACGCAACCCUGCUGUAGUGCCAGCGAGUAUGUCGGGACCUCUAG